AAGUCGUAACAAGGUUUCCGUAGGUGAACCUGCGGAAGGAUCAUUAUAAAUGAUGGUUGAUUGGUGGAUGUUGUGAAUGCGACUGAAGCUGAUUGAUUCUAACCCUGUGAAUAUACCUAUGUCUGGUCGAUGCGUUGAGUUGUUGUUUGUCGUUUGUAAUAUAUCGACCAAAAUCAGCUCAGUGUCCGACCAGUAUUAUUCUUCGAAUCCUGUCUGACUACAAAGUUAAUAAAAUAAAAACUUUCAACAAUGGAUCUCUUGGCUCUG
rnacentral:misc_RNA from 1 species